UACGGGGGGGGGCAAGCGUUGUUCGGAAUUACUGGGCGUAAAGGGCUCGUAGGUGGCCAACUAAGUCAGACGUGAAAUCCCUCGGCUUAACCGGGGAACUGCGUCUGAUACUGGAUGGCUAGAGAUUGGGAGAGGGAUGCGGAAUUCCAGGUGUAGCGGUGAAAUGCGCAGAUAUCGGGAAGAACACCCGUGGCGAAGGCGGCUCUCUGGGACGGUACUGACGCUGAGACGCGAAAGCGUGGGGAGCGAACAGG
rnacentral:rRNA from 1 species